rnacentral:rRNA from 1 species
GACGAACGCUGGCGGCGUGCUUAACACAUGCAAGUCGAACGGAAAGGCCCUGCUUUUGUGGGGUGCUCGAGUGGCGAACGGGUGAGUAACACGUGAGUAACCUGCCCUUGACUUUGGGAUAACUUCAGGAAACUGGGGCUAAUACCGGAUAGGAGCUCCUGCUGCAUGGUGGGGGUUGGAAAGUUUCGGCGGUUGGGGAUGGACUCGCGGCUUAUCAGCUUGUUGGUGGGGUAGUGGCUUACCAAGGCUUUGACGGGUAGCCGGCCUGAGGGGGUGACCGGCAAAAUGGGGAGGGGGGUACGGCCAGGAGGCCGAGGGGGGGAAGAGGUGGGAAAUAUGGCAAAAGGGGGGGAGGCCGGAGGCAGCAACCCCGGGUGGGGGAGGACGGCUUGCGGGUUGAAACCGGGUUGCGCCGGGGAAGAAGGGGGAGUGACGGGAAGGGGAAAAGAAGCACGGGCAAACUACGUG